AAAUUAUUUGUUAUCUUUCUUUUUGGCUGCCUUAUUUCAUUUAGCAUGUACAAUAUUCUCAAGAUUCAUCCAAGUUGUAGUAGGUGAUAGGAGACAGGGUAUUUUUCAGGCCUCAAAGUAUACCAUUGUAUGUAUAUACCACAUUUGCUUAUCCAUUCAUUACUGAGAAAUCUUUGAGUUACUUCCAUCUUUGGGCUGCUAUAUAUAAUGCUAGUGUGCACAUAGGUGUGCAAAUAUCCCUAAGAGAUGCUGCUUUCAAUUCUUGUGGGUAUUCAUACCCAGAAAUUUGAUUGUUGGAUUAUAUAAUAAUUCUAAGUGUUUUCCACAGCAGUACCAACAUUUUACAAGGUGUUCAACUCCUCCGUAUCCUUGACAGUGCUUGUCAUUUGGAGCAGUAGCUGUCCUCAUGGAUGAGUUGUGCAAUGAAGAGCUUUUCAGUUUCUGACACAGACUUCAUUUGCACAACUGAACUUCUGCAGAAUUCAUGUUAUUCACUGUGGCAGUGAAGUGCAGUAGAGCUGUUCUGAAGCCAGACUGCCUGGGUUUGAAUCCACUGCCUGAUGGUAUGACCUUGGGAAAACCAGACUGCCUGGGUUUGAAUCUACUGCCUAAUGAUAGCCUGUUUCCUUGGUCUUCUUGGUUCCAGAGUGAGAGUCAUCACCAGGAGUUGUGCUUAAUACAGCACAACAGCCUCAUAUGUGUCUAAUUUAGAUGUUGAUCAGAGUUGGGACUUCUGGAAAGAUCAGAUUUAGAACUUCUGUAAGACCACAGACCAGCCAACUCUGAUUUUGGCCCUGUAAGAUCCCCAGCAGAAUACACAGAAAACCCAUUGGUCAUCUGACCUGUGGAACUGUGAGAUAAUAAAUGAAUACUCUUUCAAACUGUCAGGUUUCUGGUGAAUUACUAUGGUAGCAAUAGAAAAUGAAAACAUAAGAUACUCGUUAUUGGUAUUAACUAUAGAAUUUUUUUGCAAAUGAAAUAUUUCAUCCCUAUUGAGCUCCUUUGGCCAAAUCUGAGGGAAGAAGCACCCCACUGAAGUUCCUCCUGGGUGUCCCAUGAAAAGCACAUAUAUAGAUUCAAGCACAAGAAGCACAAGUGUCCCACCAACCAGCACUGCAAUUUCAACACUUACCACAGUGCAUCACAUUCUCAGUCUUCUGUACCAUUCCCACUAGACUGUAUUCUCAAUGAGAGCAGGGACAGUGUCUUUUUAAUUUCUCCCUCUCCAGAGCAAGACAGUGUUGGCAAAAAGUCAUCAUUUGAUACACAUUUUUGAGUGAAUGCUAAAUGAAUUUGAAAACUAUAACUGUCCCCAGAGAAGACAAUGGCUAGAGGAAGAGCAAGGAACUAGAGGCAUGACAUGGGGCAAGACAGGGGGAAGGAAUAAUUUGCCAAGGCAAAGGAAUGUAAAGUUUAAUACUUUUGCAUUUAUUGUUGGUUUAGAAACAUUUCCUUCAUUUAUAUUUCCUGCCUACACCACCAGCAGUAUCAGUUUCAGGAAGCAGACUGGCCAUUGCAAAAGCGGCUUGUGAAAUAUCACAUCACAGAUCACAUUCCCAACAAGUUGAACAAAUAUGUUUGUGUGUAGUUUAUCCCCUAAGGAUGGUUCUCCUGGCUUCUGCACAGCUGGAAUCAGAAUUGGU